rnacentral:rRNA from 1 species
GUGGGGAAUAUUGGACAAUGGGGGCAACCCUGAUCCAGCCAUGCCGCGUGUGUGAAGAAGGCCUUUUGGUUGUAAAGCACUUUAAGCGAGGAGGAGGCUCUUCUAGUUAAUACCUAGGAUGAGUGGACGUUACUCGCAGAAUAAGCACCGGCUAACUCUGUGCCAGCAGCCGCGGUAAUACAGAGGGUGCGAGCGUUAAUCGGAUUUACUGGGCGUAAAGCGUACGUAGGCGGCUUUUUAAGUCGGAUGUGAAAUCCCUGAGCUUAACUUAGGAAUUGCAUUCGAUACUGGGAAGCUAGAGUAUGGGAGAGGAUGGUAGAAUUCCAGGUGUAGCGGUGAAAUGCGUAGAGAUCUGGAGGAAUACCGAUGGCGAAGGCAGCCAUCUGGCCUAAUACUGACGCUGAGGUACGAAAGCAUGGGGAGCAAACAGGAUUAGAAACCCCUGUAGUCC